rnacentral:rRNA from 1 species
UACGUAGGGACCAAGCGUUGUUCGGAUUUACUGGGCGUAAAGGGCGCGUAGGCGGCAUGACAAGUCACUUGUGAAAUCUCCGGGCUUAACUCGGAACGGCCAAGUGAUACUGUCAAGCUAGAGUGCAGAAAGGGCAAUCGGAAUUCUUGGUGUAGCGGUGAAAUGCGUAGAUAUCAAGAGGAACACCGGUGGCGAAGGCGGCAUCCCUGGACCGGCAUUGACGCUGAGGCGCGAAAGCCAGGGGAGCAAACGGG